AUUGAACGCUGGCGGCAGGCCUAACACAUGCAAGUCGAACGAGUGGCGGACGGGUGAGUAAUGUCUGUGAAACUGCCUGAUGGAGGGGGAUAACUACUGGAAACGGUAGCUAAUCCCGCAUACCAUCGGAGGUGCCCAGAGGGGAUUAGCUAGUAGGUGGGGUAACGGCUCACCUAGGCGACGAUCCCUAGCUGGUCUGAGAGGAUGACCAGCGAAACUGGAACGGAGAAACGGUCCAGACUCUUACGGGAGGCAGCAGUGGGGAAUAUUGCACAAUGGGCGCAAGACUGAUGCAGCCAUGCCGCGUGUGUGAAGAAGGCCUUCGGGUUGUAAAGCACUUUCAGCGAGGAGGCGUUACUCGCAGAAGAAGCACCGGCUAACUCCGUGCCAGCAGCCGCGGUAAUUC
rnacentral:rRNA from 1 species